UCUCCUUGUGCAGUCGCCCUUCCCCAUUUCCCCCACACCCUUGGCCGCAGCCCCCCCCUCCCAUUUCUUCCUCCCUCAAACCAUUGCAGCCACACCACCCUAAACCCUAGCCGCCGCCCCCUCUCUCCAAGGUGAAGCCCUCCCGCGUGGUUCUCCGUCGUGUGGCGAUCUCAAUUGGGGUUUGGAGGGAGGAAGAAGGAAGGAGAAAGGGAAGAAUCCAAGGUGAUUUUGUGUUUAUCUCUUGUUCAUUUGUGCUGCAAUCCAUUUGAUUAGAUGUUGCGUAUGCGAUUUGGUAGAAGGGAUAUCCAGAAUUUUAGGGGGGGACGAACAGCAGCAGUAUUAGUGGUUUCUGGGCAUUUUUCGUGGGAAGUUAAUGGGAAUCAGUUUGGGAAUCACGUAGAACUUUGGAAUACCUUUCCAACGAGUAUUUAUGCGCUCAAAUUGGAGUUAUAAAUUAAAAGAUAUCACCAUUUGAAUCCGGGUAUGUGGCUGUCCAAAAAAACAGAUUUUCAGGUGGACGAACAGCAGCAGUAUUAGUGGUUUCUGGGCAUUUUUCGUGGGAAAUUAAUGGGAAUCAGUUUGGGAAUCAUGUAGAACUUUGGAAUACCUUUCCAACGAGUAUUUAUGCGCUCAAUUUGGAGUUAUAAAUUAAAAGAUAUCACCGUUUGAAUCUGGAUAUGUGGCUGUCCAAAAAAACAGAUUUUCAGGUGGACGAACAACAGCAGUAUUAGCAGUUUCUGGGGAUUUUCCGUGAGUAAUUAGUGUUAAUCAGUAUGAGAAUCAUGUAGGCCUUUUUCUUACCUUUCCAACAAGUACUUAUGCGCUCGAUUCGGAAUUAUAUUUUAAAAGUUAUCGCUGUUUGAAUCCGAGUAUGUCGCUGCCCAAAAGAGAAAAAACAGAUUGCAGGGUUUAUCUUGUGGACCGUUUUGGGGUAGUUAGAUGUUGGAAUUUAAUCAUAAAUUGUAUACAAAACUUAUGGGGAAUUUUAUGUAGUUGUCUCUGGAGUUUUUGUUUGUCAUCACUGCUGUCUUAAUUUUAAAGUUAUGGAAUUGUUAAGCAGCGCCGCUGCAGUUUGGUGGGUGUGGGGAGAAUCGUUACCCGCGGCGGGGUUUGAGACUGCGCGUAGGUGCGGCGUUGUUUUUAAGGCUUAUUAUGUGAAUUUGGUGCACUAAGUUGGGUGUGAAAAACAGGUGGUGGACUUCCGGAUCGUACUUAGGGAUUUGCCCAAACUUCCGGUGAAGGCAAGUAAAACAGUGAUGGUUAUUUCGUCUGUCGAAUGAAGAGUCUUAUACUUGAUUAUGUUGUGCUAUUGUGUUUGUAUUCAUAUUUUUAAUUGAGUACCAUCAUUUGAAGAUAUUCAUGUUUUAUUGAUUACACAUGUUGAGUUUGUGGUUUGAUCAUGUUACUCAAGUGGUUAUUAUGCAGAAUGGGUGGAAGUAUAUGUCUAGCACAUUUUAUUUGGGAAGAGCUCAUGUUGUUGUCAUGCAUAAUGCAUUCAUUAUUCAUUGCAUGGAAGUUCGUCGUGAUCUUAUGGUCCGACCGUACCGGUACAUUGAACAUCAUAUGUUGCCCGAGAAGGGGUAUGAUGCAGCUUCAUAUCCUCAGAGAUAUGAAGGCAGAAGUCAUUAUUGCAUCUGUAGCCAUGUGCAUUCAUGGGAGAGGUGUGGAAUUUAUUAUGUGGAUGUGGAUAGUGUGGAUUUUUACAUUGCGAUUCUUCUUGGCUUUAAGUAAUUAGUUACUUGCUUACUUGCUGCAAAUUAUUAUUCAAGAAGGAAGUUUUGAACUACGUGGUUGUUUAAGCACAGUUGGUUUACAUUGUCCAAUUGUGGUUUGCUCUGUUUACUUGCUGAGAUGUGUCAUCUCACUCUUGCAUUGUUUAAUGCAGGCACCUGAUUUCUGCUCUGGGAAAAGAGGGAUGUAGCAGCACGGCCACUACACCUUUAAUAAAGGAACCACUGCUUAAUAAUGUUGUUAAUCAGAGAGGGUCAAGUCUAGGGAAUUAAUAUGUUCUAGCUUUUCAUGGUGGUUGAGCUAUUUUUGGGGUGGGCUGAGUUACCUAUCUUUUUAUUUGGUCAUGAAUGUGUUUCGUCACUUUGCAUUUAGAUUCUACUACGUGAAUUAUCUGUCUUUUAUAUCCUGUAUGAACUCCAUGUUUUCCCCCCUGUUAUGCUUCUUUCAAGGGAGGUGCUGCCGGAUUUUGCAAUACUUUCUCUCUCUAUUCCAUUUCUUGUGUUGCAUAAGUUUAGUGGGAAGGGUAUUUGGUAACAUCCAAUGUGUGGGACCAGUGGGGGUGUUACAGUUGGUAUCAGAGGAAUAGGCUGUAGGUCCUAGCAAGUGGAGUAAUAAUAAAUUGACACACUGCACAUGUAGGAUGGGAUUUCUACUUUACUAUUGAUAUGUUAUGUUAUUGUCUGUGCUAGUUUGACAUUAUCUGAAGAAAUGCUAUGCCAAUAUUAUUUACUUAUUAUUCUCACCCCUGUGGCUGCAUCUAUGCCGCCUCGUAAGGCUCGGGGUAGUCCGCAAGUUCCUAGUGGGGACUCGAUGAGUCCGGCGGCGAUGUCAGCCGCGAUGCAGGCCAUGCAGCAGGAGUUGGCCAUUCUGAGGCAAGCUAUUCCUGUUGCCCCUACGGGCGCUGUUCAGGGUGUUGGUGGUGGAGGAGUGCCUGGGGGCGUUGUCCCUGCGGGUGCUGCUCCAGGUGGCGGGGCCGAGGUGCCUCUUCUAGUCAGUGGUCUUUCUCUAAUGCAGUGGAUGGGCAUGAAGUUGGAUUCUUUUGAUGGCAGUGGUACUCCAGUGGAGGCGGCAGAUUGGCUGACUUAUGUGGAGGAUAAGAUGAAUGUCUUCGAGAUUGUGUAUGGAGAUCGGGUUCGCUUUGGCACAAAGAUGCUGAAGGGAGAGGCUCAAAUUUGGUGGAGAGGCGUGCAGGCAGCGCACUCCUCAUCACCAGGAGUCCUGUCUUGGGAUGUCUUCAUCAGGCAGUUUGAAAGGAGAUUCUACCCGAUCACCUUCCUGGAGAAAAUGAAGAUUGACUUGCAGUCCUACAAGCAGGAGAAGAAGUCUGUCACAGAGUAUGAGGUGGGCUUCAACAAGAUGGUCCGCUUUGUCCCUCAUGUGGCUUAUAAUGAGAUGGAGAAGGCGAGUCAGUUCCGUCAGGGUCUGAAACCUUCUAUCAGGCAUGCACUGGGAGCCUUUCCGUUGGUGGACUUCCGUACUACGGUGGAGCAGGCACUGGGUGUGGAGAUGCAACACCAGUAUACCAUGGAGUCGCAGAAGUCUUCGGGUGUUGAUCAGCCUCGUGGCCAGGACGCGAGGAGGGGCAACACGGGAGGUCCAGCCCACAAGAGGGGCAAGUCUCAGCAUCAGCGCCACCAUCCUUUCCGUGGCAAAUCCUCUGACUCGGGUACUUCGGGAGGAAGUACUCAGAGGUUUCGGGCUGUUCCUAAGCCCGGGCUGGGGCUGGUGUGUUUCCGCUGUGGUGAUGCGCAUCGCCGUGCAGAGUGCCAGUGGAGUGGCAGGUGUUCUAUCUGCAGUCAGGACCACAAGGAUGUGGUGUGUAGAAGGAAUCCUAAUGGGAAGCUCAGAGGGGAGCCGGUGACUUCCUCCUCUUCUCAGGGCACUAUCAACAUGAUGUCAAGUGUUGAGCAGCAGUUUUCAGUUCCUCUUCCUCCGCAACAGCUUUAUGUGCCUGGGACUUCUUAGUUUGUGUCGAUGCAUGGUUUUCCUCAGUAUCUGGCCGCGCCUACUCCUGCACCGUCUACUCCUAUGCCGUCUCAGUUUGGAGCUCCGCGUCUGCCUCACCUGGCGGCUCAGUGGGGUUCUUCUGUUAAUUUCACUCCGGGAGCUUCCUCUUCUGCGGGUAUUUCUGGAGCUUAUGUGCUACCCGCUGCGGAUGGCAGAGAGCAAGGAGACGCGGUGAUAGGUACGAUUUCAGUUGAUUCGUUUGCGGCCCAUGCUCUUUUUGACUCUAGCGCUAGCUAUUCGUUUGUUUCAGAGGAUUUUGUGUCGCGGGCUGGUCUUUCGGUGCAGAGGUUGGGUCACCCAAUUUUGGUUAGUUCUGCUAAUGGCUCCAUUAGUAGCUGUUCAGUUUGUCAGGGGUGUUCCGUCAUUCUUGCUGAUGAGGUCUUUUCGGCCAAUCUGGUGGUGAUUUCCUUGGAGGCAUUCGAUGUUAUCUUGGGUAUGGAUUGGUUAUCCCAGUAUCGAGCAGUUAUAUCCUGUUUUUGGAAGACAGUGUUAUUGUAGGCACCGUCGGGUAAGGAGGUGGUAUUCUUGGGAAGUUCCCCAAAGUUCACGUUAUCCUUGCUGGCGCAAUUGCUUCCAGAUCGCCGGUCAAGGAAGUCGGGGAUCUUUUUCUCCAUGGUGGUGGAGGGUGAGGCUGCCUUGCGGGUGCAGGACAUCCGGGUGGUGUGUGACUUUGCUGACGUGUUUCCGGCAGAUCUUCCAGGCAUUCCUCCAGAGCGCUAUGCAGCUUUUGAGAUUAAGCUGAUUCGGGGUACGCAGCCUAUUCAUAAGGCCCCGUAUCGAAUGGCCCCAAAGGAGCAGGUUGAGUUGAAGCGGCAAUUGGAUGAUUUGCUGGCUAAGGGUUUCAUUAGGCCUAGCAGGUCUCCAUGGGCUUCCCCAGUAUUGUUUGUUGAGAAGAAGGAUAAAAGCAAUCGACUAUGUGUGGAUUAUCGCGCUUUGAAUCAAGUGACAAUCAAGAAUAAAUAUCCGCUCCCCCGUAUUGAGGUCCUCUUUGAACAGUUGAGGGGUGCCCAGGUGUUCUCCAAAAUUGAUUUGAACUCGGGAUAUCAUCAAUUAAGGAUUCGUGAGGAGGAUAUUGAGAAGACCGCUUUUUGCACUAGGUAUGGGCAUUAUGAGUUCAUAGUCAUGUCUUUUGGCUUAACUAAUGCCCCUGCUGCUUUUAUGGAAGCAAUGAAUAGGAUGUUGCAUGAAUUCCUGGAUGACUUUGUGGUCGUGUUCCUGGAUGAUAUUCUGAUUUAUUCAAAGACCGAGACCGAGCAUGAGCAGCAUCUCCGUCUCGUUCUGGGUGCCCUAAGGAAGAAUUAGUUCUAUGGCAAGUUGAAGAAGUGUGCAUUUUGGCUGUCCGAAGUGGCUUUCCUGGGGCACGUGAUUAAUCAACAGGGCAUUGCGGUUGAUCCCAAGAAUGUUGCGGCUGUGGUGGAGUGGAAGAGACCCUCUAGUGUCUCUGAAAUCCGAAGUUUCUUGGGGCUCGCUGGAUAUUAUCGUAGCUUCGUACCAAAUUUUUCCAACAUUGAUAAGCCUCUGACUAGACUCUUGGAGAAGGUUGUUCUCUUCAUCUGGUCCAAUGAUUGCGAGGUCAGUUAUCAGACAUUGAAGAGCAAGUUGGUGGACGCCCCUAUCCUAGCUUUGCCUGAGAGCGGUAAGCGUUUCACAGUUUAUACGAAUGCUCCGCGUAUUGGUCUUGGUUGUGUGUUGAUGCAGGAAGGCAGAGUGAUUGCUUAUGGCUCAAGGCAGUUGAGAAAGCAUGAGGGCAAUUACCCAACUCAUGAUCUUGAAUUGGCCGCGGUGGUUUUUGCUCUAAAGUCGUGGAGACAUUAUCUUUAUGGCGAGGCUUGUGACAUUUACACCGAUCAUGAAAGUCUCAAGUAUAUUUUUACUCAGAAGGAGUUGAAUUUGAGGCAGCGUCGAUGGCUUGAAUUGAUUAAAGAUUAUGAUUUGUCCAUUCAUUAUCACCCGGGGAAGGCUAAUGUAGUGGCUGAUGCCCUUAGCAGGUCCGGGGUUCCAAAAGUGGCCUUGCCGUUCAUCGCUGAUCUGGACCGUUUGGGGAUCGCUUUGUGUUAUGUCGGCACCGCUAGCGAGGAGACUCGAAUGCUUAUUCAAUCCUCCCUCAUGGAGAGAGUGUGUGCGACUCAGCAGCAGGAUCGUCUAUUGCAGGAAGCUCGAAAGAGGGUUGGUGAUGGUAAACCACGGGAGUUCACCAUUGAUGAGAAUGAUUUGGUUCGUUUCAGGGGCCGUCUUUGUGUGCCUCAGAAAUCAGAGGUGAAGAUGGAUAUCUUGAGAGAAGCUCAUAAAACGCCUUACACUGUUCACCCUGGCGAAACCAAGAUGUACCGAGAUUUGAAGCAAAACUUCUGGUGGAAGCGGAUGAAGGUUGACGUUUCUAAGUAUGUGGCCGCCUGUGAAGUAUGUCAACGCGUGAAGGCCGAGCAUAAGCGGUCGGCAGGUUUACUGAAGCCAUUAGAAAUUCCAGAGUGGAAAUGGGAGCAUAUCACCAUGGAUUUUGUGGUGGGUCUACCUCGUUCCCCUCGGGGCAGGGAUGUUGUAUGGGUGGUAGUGGAUCGCUUGACUAAGUCUGCACAUUUUAUUCCCAUGAAGACCACAAAUUCAACUUCAGAUUUGGUUCCCUUGUAUAUGAAGGAAGUAGUCAGGCUUCACCGGGUACCUAAGUCCAUUGUUUCUGAUCGAGACUCCAAAUUUGUAUCCAAAUUCUGGGCGAGUCUUCACAGUGCAUUGGGCACCAAGCUUUCACUUAGUGUCGCUUUUCACCCUCAGACUGAUGGUCAAUCAGAGCGAACGAUCCAAACCUUGGAAGAUAUGUUGCGUGCUUGUGUUCUGUCAUGGAAGGGUAGCUGGGAGGAUCAUCUUGCAUUAGCAGAGUUUGCUUAUAACAAUAGCUACCAGGCAAGCAUCAAGAUGACACCAUUUGAGGCUUUAUAUGGCAGGCGGUGUAUCUCCCUUCUGUGCUGGGAGACUUUGGGAGAGAGAUCCCUGGUUGGUCCUGAUUGGGUUCAGCAGACUUCUGAAAAGGUUCGAGAAAUUCGUCAGAAUAUUUUGGCAGCUCAGAGCCGUCAGAAGAGUUAUGUUGUUGUGAGGAGGCGGGAUUUGGAAUUUGCAGUGGGUGACCAAGUCCUUCUCAGGGUAUCACCUACUAAAGUUGUUGUUCGGUUCGGUGUCUCUGGAAAGCUCAGCCCGAGAUACAUUGGACCGUUCACUAUCUUGGCCCGAGUGGGUAGCCUGGCUUAUCGCUUGCUACUGCCGGAUUCCAUGGCAGGGGUACACCCAGUUUUUCAUGUUUCUAUGUUGAGGAAGUUCUUGCGGGAUCCGGACCAUCAGAUUGAGAUGGAACCAAUUGUUGUGCAGCAGGAUCUGACUUUGGAGUAUCGUCCGGUGCGUAUAUUGGAAUUCUCGGAGCGUGUAUUGAGGAAGAGAUCAAUCAAGUAUGUUAAGGUUGUGUGGUCUAAUCAGUCUGAGCGUGAGGCUACUUGGGAACUUGAGGAGCUGAUGCGGCAAAAAUAUCCGGAACUUUUCGGUGUGGGUAAGUGUUGUUGAUUCAUUAAUCUUUCCUUUUGUCGUUCCGAUAGAAGCGUCAGAAUUCGAGGUCGAAUUCUUUUUAAGGGGGGUAGAGUGUGAUACCCGGUUCGCAAAGAAGAGAAGUUGGAGGUUAUUCUUUUUUUUUGUUGUUUUUGUUUUUUUCCAUUCGGUUGAUGCGCUUUGGGGAUUUGGAAAUUUUGGAAGAAAAACAUUCACCAGUAGGAUAGUGGAAUUUCUUUGGUUAGAUGCUUGAGACGGGGUCGGGAGCUGUCGCGUAGGCGAAUUGGGCCGUGAACCUCUAUCCGGCCCACUAAUCUCCCCUUAACCCUAGCCGCCCUUCCCCUAACCCCCCUCUCCUUGUGCAGCCGCCCUUCCCCAUUUCCCCCACACCCUUGGCCGCAGCCCCCCCCCUCCCAUUUCUUCCUCCCUCAAACCAUUGCAGCCACACCACCCUAAACCCUAGCCGCCGCCCCCUCUCUCCAAGGUGAAGCCCUCCCGCGUGGUUCUCCGUCGUGUGGCGAUCUCAAUUGGGGUUUGGAGGGAGGAAGAAGGAAGGAGAAAGGGAAGAAUCCAAGGUGAUUUUGUGUUUAUCUCUUGUUCAUUUGUGUUGCAAUCCAUUUGAUUAGAUGUUGCGUAUGCGAUUUGGUAGAAGGGAUAUCCAGAAUUUUAGGGGGGGACGAACAGCAGCAGUAUUAGUGGUUUCUGGGCAUUUUUCGUGGGAAGUUAAUGGGAAUCAGUUUGGGAAUCAUGUAGAACUUUGGAAUACCUUUCCAACGAGUAUUUAUGCGCUCAAAUUGGAGUUAUAAAUUAAAAGAUAUCACCGUUUGAAUCCGGGUAUGUGGCUGUCCAAAAAAACAGAUUUUCAGGUGGACGAACAGCAGCAGUAUUAGUGGUUUCUGGGCAUUUUUCGUGGGAAAUUAAUGGGAAUCAGUUUGGGAAUCAUGUAUAACUUUGGAAUACCUUUCCAACGAGUAUUUAUGCGCUCAAUUUGGAGUUAUAAAUUAAAAGAUAUCACCGUUUGAAUCUGGAUAUGUGGCUGUCCAAAAAAACAGAUUUUCAGGUGGACGAACAACAGCAGUAUUAGCAGUUUCUGGGGAUUUUCCGUGAGUAAUUAGUGUUAAUCAGUAUGAGAAUCAUGUAGGCCUUUUUCUUACCUUUCCAACAAGUACUUAUGCGCUCGAUUCGGAAUUAUAUUUUAAAAGUUAUCGCUGUUUGAAUCCGAGUAUGUCGCUGCCCAAAAGAGAAAAAAACAGAUUGCAGGGUUUAUCUUGUGGACCGUUUUGGGGUAGUUAGAUGUUGGAAUUUAAUCAUAAAUUGUAUACAAAACUUAUGGGGAAUUUUAUGUAGUUGUCUCUGGAGUUUUUGUUUGUCAUCACUGCUGUCUUAAUUUUAAAGUUAUGGAAUUGUUAAGCAGCGCCGCUGCAGUUUGGUGGGUGUGGGGAGAAUCGUUACCCGCGGCGGGGUUUGAGACUGCGCGUAGGUGCGGCGUUGUUUUUAAGGCUUAUUAUGUGAAUUUGGUGCACUAAGUUGGGUGUGAAAAACAGGUGGUGGACUUCCGGAUCGUACUUAGGGAUUUGCCCAAACUUCCGGUGAAGGCAAGUAAAACAGUGAUGGUUAUUUCGUCUGUCGAAUGAAGAGUCUUAUACUUGAUUAUGUUGUGCUAUUGUGUUUGUAUUCAUAUUUUUAAUUGAGUACCAUCAUUUGAAGAUAUUCGUGUUUUAUUGAUUACACAUGUUGAGUUUGUGGUUUGAUCAUGUUACUCAAGUGGUUAUUAUGCAGAAUGGGUGGAAGUAUAUGUCUAGCACAUUUUAUUUGGGAAGAGCUCAUGUUGUUGUCAUGCAUAAUGCAUUCAUUAUUCAUUGCAUGGAAGUUCGUCGUGAUCUUAUGGUCCGACCGUACCGGUACAUUGAACAUCAUAUGUUGCCCGAGAAGGGGUAUGAUGCAGCUUCAUAUCCUCAGAGAUAUGAAGGCAGAAGUCAUUAUUGCAUCUGUAGCCAUGUGCAUUCAUGGGAGAGGUGUGGAAUUUAUUAUGUGGAUGUGGAUAGUGUGGAUUUUUACAUUGCGAUUCUUCUUGGCUUUAAGUAAUUAGUUACUUGCUUACUUGCUGCAAAUUAUUAUUCAAGAAGGAAGUUUUGAACUACGUGGUUGUUUAAGCACAGUUGGUUUACAUUGUCCAAUUGUGGUUUGCUCUGUUUACUUGCUGAGAUGUGUCAUCUCACUCUUGCAUUGUUUAAUGCAGGCACCUGAUUUCUGCUCCGGGAAAAGAGGGAUGUAGCAGCACGGCCACUACACCUUUAAUAAAGGAACCACUGCUUAAUAAUGUUGUUAAUCAGAGAGGGUCAAGUCUAGGGAAUUAAUAUGUUCUAGCUUUUCAUGGUGGUUGAGCUAUUUUUGGGGUGGGUUGAGUUACCUAUCCUUUUAUUUGGUCAUGAAUGUGUUUCGUCACUUUGCAUUUAGAUUCUACUACGUGAAUUAUCUGUCUUUUAUAUCCUGUAUGAACUCCAUGUUUUUCCCCCCUGUUAUGCUUCUUUCAAGGGAGGUGCUGCCGG
rnacentral:lncRNA from 1 species